GGACCUGCAGGGUUAGCAACGGUGGCUGAAUCCUCUCAAUUUGGAUAAGGUUGCAAGUUCCGGUCUCUCCUCCCUCAUUUAUAAACUCUAAAAUCAAACGGGGAUGUGGACAUAAGCAAACAGUCAUAUGAUUGCCAACUCAGGACAAACAUUUAGAUAGUAACAGUAGAAUAAAGAUAAUCCUGCAGAAACAUCAGUUUCCUUUCGUGCAGAUAGCUCUAGAAACCACUAAUUCUUGGCAACAAUGGAUGGGGACAUAGUAUUAAUGGUGGGAGACUCAUGGGCAAAGAUAAAUUUAGGAACUAGAGAUGCAACCAUAGCUUAAAUCAUCUGCAGAGAGUAUGCCAUGAGUAACUGCAAUAGUCCUGGAGUAGCAAAUGGAUAUAUCCCUGUAAAUCAACCUCUGAUUAGUGUUUGAUUCACCAGGAAAACUAGCUUGCUGCGGAGAUUGUCAAUAGUCCUUGACAUGUUAUUGCCAUUAGACCAUGUCUCCAGAAAAGCAUGAGAAACAUUUGCAACAAUUCUUCCUGGUAUUGUUGUAGUGAUCAUGUUCAGAGGAUACUUCCUUUUAACAAUAACUCGUUUAAGCAACUCUCCCCUGUCAUUUAACACCUGAAUUUCCUUGUUUACCUUGAUUUUCAAUUUAACAAAUUUUCAAUUUAACUAGCUAGUGCAGCUAAAGGACCAUCUUACAAUGAAAGAUCUGCCUUACGGAAUGCUGUGCAAACUGAAAAUGCAAUUAACAAGCGACAGCUGCAAGUGGCCAAUGCCCCUCGAGUGAAUGAAUCACCAUAUUUAAGAAGUCGUUUCUCUGUUCCAGAAGCACCUUCUGAAUCUGGAAAGGCUCCACCUAGAUCUGUAGCCCCACCAUUUUCGCUUUUGCCUUCUCCCCCUGUAAAUAACUCCAUUCAAUCUCCUCCACUGGAACCAAAUCCGGCACCCUCUUCUCCCCCUGCAGUUGUUUCUCUUCCAACUCCACUGGAACCAAAUCCCCCUUCUGCUUCACCUAAUGGUUCUGCUUCAAAUCCUCUUCUAGUUCCAACUCCUCCAUCCUCUAAUAAUCCUAGAAAACCUUCCUCAUCAAAAAAACAUGUUUCUAUAAUUGCUGGUGCCAUAGGGGGUGCUCUACUUGCCAUGUCCAUUGUCAUUUUCUAUGUGUAUAAAAUUAACAAGGCUACUGUCAAACCUUGGGCCACAGGAUUGAGUGGGCAACUUCAGAAAGCAUUUGUAACUGGUGUACCGAAGCUUAAAAAAGAUCUGAGCUUGAAGCAGGCUGUGAAGAUUUCAGUAGUGUAAUUGGUUCUUCACCAAUUGGUACACUGUACAAGGGAACAUUGUCCAGUGGCAUUGAAAUAGCUGUGGCCUCAGUUGCAGUAACAUCUUCCAAGGAUUGGCCUAAGCAUUUGGAAGUUCAAUUUAGGAAGAAGAUUGAGACAUUAUCAAAAGUGAAUCACAAGAAUUUUAUCAAUCUUUUUGGAUAUUGUGAGGAGGAUAUUUUACUUCAUUUCUCUUCUCUUCAAUUCCUACUGGUAAAUGUGAACAAACUUGCAUGGUUUCAUUGCUUUAUGGCGUUUUGAAUUCUAACUCUGAUUGUGAAUAGUAGUUUUAGUUCAUUUUAGUCGUGUUUUCUUGGAGAAGAUAGAUAUAUUAUUUAAUAGUGAAUCGAAAUUUCUAUUGGUGUCGAUAGUGUUUUAGUGAUUUUGGAGUGUUUUCUUUGUGAAUUUUCUUUUUCCUGUUUUGGUAGCUAGAGUACAUGGAAAGCUUAUUCAAUUUAUUGACUUUCUAGCUGUGUUAAAGAUGGUUGCGACGAAUCAAGCAAAAUAAAGAAGAAAUUAACGUGCUCGACAUUAUUCCAAUCUGGUGAAAUUGUUAUCGUUUAUGAACGGAAAGUGAAACUCCUCUAUGAUGAUGCAAUCCAUUAGCUGGGUAAUUGCACGAAUUUCUACAUCAAGAAGGAAACGAAACCAUUCCUCGGUUUUCUUUUUGGCUUUUUGUUUUUAAAUUUACAAUUUCCUUCACUCAGCUAAUUUUAAAUUAUAUGGUGUCCGCUGACUCCACAUCCUACUGUUCCUCCUAAAGAGGUCACCUCUCCUCUCCUUGAAUCAGCGUAUUUUAGCACACUGUUUCACUAAACCAGCCCGCUAUGUCGCAACCAUUUGAGAGGAAUUGUUUAUUUCUACACAAUUUAAGACCAGAAGAUGUUAAGAGCCGAUGAAGGCCUUACCGUUCUGUCCACCAUUGUUUAAAAUUUCAAUUGUUGGAUGUAUCUACCCUUGCAAAACAAACAUUAAAGUGAAAAGCAAAGGAGCCUUGGACAACAUACUGCAUAUUUUGCAGGAAUGCAGGGAUAUUACGUCUUAUUGGAGUAGCUAACCUGAUGGAUCUGCCACCUCUGUUCCUUAUUGAUGAUUUAUGUGCAUAUGAAUAUAGAGAGAUCUAUUAUCCAGCA